GAAAAAAAAAACCCUCUAGCUUUCGUUCCAUAUACUAGUGUCUCUAUACUGCCUCUUUCUUCAUCCCUUUACUCUCUAAUCCUGUCUCUUCUCCACUCCACAGCUUUCCACUAUUGCCAUUGCGCCACCGUGACCACCAGUGAGCCACCUGCAUCGUCUUCACCUACGUGCUUCUGCUACCUGGGCCCCUACUUUUGCCAAAGUUGAAACCCCAUUGGGUAUCUUACAAUCUUCAUCUCCUCUCUCUCUCUCUCUCAAACAAUCUGCCUCUCAACCUCAAUCUCUUUCUCUCUAUCUUACCCAAUUUCAAAACCCUAACAUCGUCUAGCUUAUUCUAAUGAUGGGUCAGAUUCCACCGUUUUGAAGCUUCUUUUUUCUUUUUUUUUUACCUCAACAACUGUGAAUUUGUUGAAAUGGCAGUUCUUUGCUUGUAAUUUUGUCUCUAGAGAGUGCUCUACUGUAUGGAAGUGUUCAAUUAGGGUUUGUUUUGGUGUAACUGUCGUUGUCGGGGUGACUAUCUGAGAAAUCUAGGGUUCGUGAAAGUUGUUUGAUUGAUGUGUAGAUAUGGUUGUCAUGGCUUCGCAUUUCAAGUGGCACUGGAAUUUCAGUUAUUAUGAUGAUUUUUGAUGUUGCUGAGUGAGUUUCGAGCCAGUGCUUUUGAUUUUUGAUUUUUGUCGUUAUUGUGCAAUGAAAUAGGAAGGUGGAGAUGCCUCCUUCUCCAGUAAUGAGGUGUUCCCUUGUGAGGGAGAUCCAAGGGGAUAAUCACAGAAGAGGGCGCAGUCUCGAGGGCGAGAUACUCCUCAGGGAGAAAAAUGACGAUCUUGCUCCAUUCAAUGAGAUGGAGACCAGAGAAAGAGACAGUUUCUUACUUCCAUCAAACGAUGAUUUUGAAGAUACAUUCAAUAAGUUUCCAUUCUAUUGAAAUUGGGUUUUGUGGGUUUCUUCUAUUGGUAAGUAUGGAAUUUAGAGUUUUGUUGUUUCCUCUGGUUUGGGGGCUAGGGUUCAGUGUUAAAAGCUCAGUCUUUUAAAUUUGAGGUUAUAGUUUCAUUCAUGAGGUUAGCUACUUUGUGCAAAUAUUUUAGGUUUGUACCCAAUUUACCCACCCAAUGGGGCUAAGCUGGGUGUAUUUUGUUGUGCUUAUUUCCUAUGGCUUUUGAUUUGCUUUAAACAACCAUGAAAUUGAGAUACUUGUCAGAUUACAAGCUUGGAAUGAAUCACAAAAUAAGAAAGGAAGACAAGGUUCAAUAUCACUUCUCUUCUCAUAUUAUGUAUAUAUAUUUAUUUCUUCAUAAACAUAUCUUUAUAGCAAUUUUAUUGAUUUCUUCAUGCUCAUUACAUUGGUGGUGCUGGGUUUAUGGAAUACUAAUGAAAUGAUGCAGUCUACCUUGAUAUGUUCCAAUUAAUAUAGUUCCUUUAUUUCGUAAUUACUUCUAGGAAUAUGGUCACUCAAUGGCUCUUAUUUUAUUUUUGGUGUUGGUAAUCAGGUGCCUAUGAUGAUGAAGAAGCUGCUGCUGCUUAUGCUUAUUUAUGAUUUGGCUACAUUGAAAUAUUGGGGUCCAUAAACCAUUCUCAACUUUCCGGAAAAGCAGUGCUUUUUCUCGAGGAGUGUCAAAAUAUAGAGGAGUUGCAAGACAUCAUCAUAAUGGAAGAUGGGAAGCAAGGAUUGGCAUAGUUUUUGGCAACAAAUACUUCUAUCUUGGGAUAUAUGACAAGAAAUGCAACAGGGUUAGUUACUCCAGCUAUUGCCGCGGGUUUAGGUGACAUACAUUGGGCACCCUCAUCUCUGUGAUAGGAGCAAGUGGAUUUGCUACAGAUGCUGUUGCAACUGCUAUAGGAAUUGUUGUCAGUAAUUUUAGAUAAUCUCUUAAUAGUUGUCGAUAUGUUUAGAAAGUUAGAUAUGCAUAAUUUUGGAUGGUUUAAACUUUUUGUACAGUUUAAGAACUUAAGGAUAUAGUUUUCGAGUGUUUGGAAUGUA